rnacentral:ribozyme from 1 species
AACAUUCUGGAAUUAAAUAAUCAAAAAAUCCUCGGAAUUGAUUUCCUAUCUCAAAAAAAGACAGAAUAGAAAAGGUUACAAAAAUUUGUUUUUUUUUUUUUUUUUUUUUUUUUUUUUUUUUUUUUUUUUU